GACACAGAGAGAAGGUGGCCGUCUGCAAGUCUCGGAGAGAGACCUCAGCAGAAACCAACUCUGCUGACAUUUAAUCAGGAGAUAUUCCCUGACUCCAGAACUAUGAGAAAAUAAGUUUGUGUUGUUUAUACCACCUGGUUGUUAAUAUUUUGUUACAGCAGAUCAUGUUGACUAGUAGAAGCUCUGGUGGUUUCUUUUGACCAUUAGAGUUCCAUGUGCUAGACAACAUACCACCCUGUCCCCAGCCAGUCCAUGGCCACCUUCUGUCUGUUUCUUCUCUGGGGACUUCCCUCUGUUCAUGUCUAUGCUCUAAUUUCCUGUUCCUAUAAGGACAGCAAUCAGAUUGGAUUGGUGCCCAGUCUAACAAUUGGUGCUAUGUCCUGAAGCUUCUUCUGGGUACGGCCUCUUUUCUCCUCUCUGGGUCAACACAUUCUAUGUCAGGUUGUUUUAUGAUUGACCCUCUUUAUUCUCCAACAGACAUGAAGGGAGGUGGGGCAGAUCUUGAGGGAGCACACAUUGUCUCCACAUUGUCUCCGAACAUCUGAGGGGUGAAGCUCAAGAUUUUAGUUGGUGGAGGUGGGGACAUUUUGCAGGCUCAAAAAGUCAAGGGAGAUUUGGAGGUCCAAGUCCUUGGGGACGUCCCGAGCAUCAGCCCAGAUGUCUGCAUCCCAUGUCUUCAGAUCUCAUUCCUUCCCAUCCGGGGUCCUGACUUUGCUGUAGAACAUUGCCACAGUCCUUAUACCAACUCUAUCCAGAGUUUCACGACCCUUAUAAUUAUGUCCUAGGUCUGAUCCUUCCAAAGGUGGGAGACAGGAAUUCUGUUUCUGUGUUACCAGAGCUGUCCAAACGACCGUCACUUCUUCCUUAAUGUGGGACAGGAGCCUUAAUGCAAGCAAAUUUACUCAUGAGUGCUGUCAUGGGCUCCACAAAACCUGCCCUGAGAGAGAGAAUCUAUUACGUCUCUUUCCACAAGUUUACUGUUUGGUAUUCCUAAUUCUUGUUGCGUACUUUCAUCCAACCUCUGAGUACUUUACACAGUUUUCAUUUUUGUCAUUGAAACUUGGAGAUCUGACAACAUUUUAGUGUUUUCUCACUGGGAGCUUAGGAGAGUCUGGUCAGUAGAAAUCUAAUAUUAGGAGGUUUUUAUGAUAUAACUGAGCUUGGGAAGAAUGAGAGGCGGUAGAAAGUCGGUACAGGUGACUACACCUGGGAGAUGGGAAAAUGGCAGUUAACAAACCCUUAUCAUUCUUGACCCAUUGUUAAUUUGAAUGUCUAUGCUUUUUCUCCCCUUUUUUCUUUUCCUGAAAGUGAUAUGUCUCACAGUCACUUGGCUAAAAUCUACUUCGCUGUCUCCCUACCCACCUACAAAAGGCUUAAGAGGGACAUGCCUACGGUUUUCCAUAUUGAUGUAAUGAGCUGAUCACAAAGAGAUUAGGGCCAUAUUUGACUAUAUAUUGCAAAAUAAACUGCAAGAAAAAUUUCAGUUGCUUGAACUGAUGUCAAGCAGUGAAAUUAGUCAAGUCACAGCAGCGUGGUUAGCCAAACCACAACAAGGUUGUUCCCCAGGGCUAGAAGUUGGUUACAUUCAACCCUCAUAAACACAAUAAACAUAUUUCUAGAUUUAUU
ensembl:lncRNA